rnacentral:rRNA from 1 species
GUGCCAGCCGCCGCGGUAAUACGGAGGGUGCGAGCGUUAAUCGGAAUUACUGGGCGUAAAGCGCACGCAGGCGGUUUGUUAAGCUAGAUGUGAAAGCCCCGAGCUCAACUUGGGAUGGUCAUUUAGAACUGGCAGACUAGAGUCUUGGAGAGGGGAGUGGAAUUCCAGGUGUAGCGGUGAAAUGCGUAGAUAUCUGGAGGAACAUCAGUGGCGAAGGCGACUCCCUGGCCAAAGACUGACGCUCAUGUGCGAAAGUGUGGGUAGCGAACAGGAUUAGAAACCCUGGUAGUCC